rnacentral:rRNA from 1 species
GGGGAAUAUUGCACAAUGGGCGAAAGCCUGAUGCAGCAACGCCGCGUGAAGGAUGAAGGGUUUCGGCUCGUAAACUUCUAUCAAUAGGGAAGAAAGAAAUGACGGUACCUAAAUAAGAAGCCCCGGCUAACUACGUGCCAGCAGCCGCGGUAAUACGUAGGGGGCAAGCGUUAUCCGGAAUUACUGGGUGUAAAGGGAGCGUAGGCGGCAUGGUAAGUUAGAUGUGAAAGCCCGUGGCUCAACCACGGGAUUGCAUUUAAAACUACCAAGCUAGAGUACAGGAGAGGUAAGUGGAAUUCCUAGUGUAGCGGUGAAAUGCGUAGAUAUUAGGAAGAACACCAGUGGCGAAGGCGACUUACUGGACUGAAACUGACGCUGAGGCUCGAAAGCGUGGGGAGCAAAC